AUGGAUCGGGCCGCAGUCCUCCUCGCCCUCCUGGCCCAGUGCACAGGGUCCUGGGCCGCAGUUGUGCUGACUCAGCCCGCCUCUGUGUCGGGGUCUCCAGGACAGAAGGUCACCAUCUCCUGCACCCGCAGCAGCGGCAGCAUUGGGGACGACUAUGUGCACUGGUACCAACAGCGCCCUGGCAGUGCCCCAACCACUGUGAUCUAUGAUGAUAACCAAAGACCGUCGGGGGUUCCGGAUCGGUUCUCUGGCGCCAUCGACAGUUCCUCCAAUGCCGCCCGCCUGACCAUCUCGGGGCUGCAGGCUGAGGACGAGGCCGACUACUACUGUCAGUCUUAUGAUAGCAACUAUCAGCCCACAGUGGGGCAGACUCAUGGGGAAGUGAGACCAGAACUCCCAGGGCCUCCCACUGGGGCUGCACUCCUCCUGCACUCACCAGAGGGAGUGCUCUUUCCUGUCUUCUGCUCCAAUGCUAGAAUUUGA